rnacentral:tRNA from 1 species
CAGGGGAUAGUUUAUUUAAAAUAUUAACUUUGGGGGUUAGUGAUAAGGUUUUUCUUUCGCCUGA